rnacentral:rRNA from 1 species
UACGUAGGGUGCUAGCGUUGCUCGGAAUCACUGGGCGUAAAGCGCACGUAGGCGGAUUGUUAAGUCAGGGGUGAAAUCCUGGAGCUCAACUCCAGAACUGCCUUUGAUACUGGCGAUCUUGAGUCCGGGAGAGGUGAGUGGAACUGCGAGUGUAGAGGUGAAAUUCGUAGAUAUUCGCAAGAACACCAGUGGCGAAGGUGGCUCACUGGCCCGGUACUGACGCUGAGGUGCGAAAGCGUGGGGAGCAAACAGG